rnacentral:misc_RNA from 1 species
GAUGAAGAACGUAGCGAAAUGCGAUACGUAAUGUGAAUUGCAGAAUUCAGUGAAUCAUCGAGUCUUUGAACGCAAGUUGCGCCCGAAGCCAUUAGGCCGAGGGCACGCCUGCCUGGGUGUCACACACCGUUACCCUCGCGCCAACGUCCAUCGUUGGCCGCGGCGCGGGGCGUGCGCUGACCUCCCGCGAGCGGGGUCUCGUGGUUGGUUGAAAAUCGAGUUCGCGGUCGAGGGUGCCGUGAUGAAAUGGUGGAUGGGCGACGCCCGAGGCCAAUCACGCGCGACUCUGUCCGGCUCGGACUCCUGGACCCCUUCGGCGUCUCCGGACGCUCUUUGGCGAGACCUCAGGUCAGGCGGGGCUACCCGCUGAGUUUAAGCAUAUCAAUAAGCGGAGGA